AAUCAUAGAGGUUUUUCCUUUUCGACGUUAUAGAAAACAAAAUGGUCGACGCAUUUGCAGGAAAAGUAAAUGUGUUUAGUUUUUGAAAUAAGUUUCUAAAAAAUACGUUUUUAUGGAAAAUAAAUUGCAGGAGAAUAAUUUUUUUUUAAGAUUAUUAAGUGGUUAAAGUUACAUUAUGUUAAAAAAUAAAACGUAAAUUAACGUUUUUAUAUUUUUGGAAUAGCGACAAAAGUGACAUCUACAGCAGACGCGUUGUAAUUAACAGCGUAGUAGGUAGAAGGGGUAGAAGACGCCGCGCCGGCGCCAUAUUGAACACGUGCUUAUUGAAAUUGAAUAAAUCGUUCUCUCUUUUACAAUUGAGCCACGGAAGUGAACAAAUGGAAAAUUAUUUAUUAUUUAAAUAUUGUGAAUUUUUCUUCUGUAAAUUCAGUGUCUACAUAUCUACAAAAUUUGUAUUAUCAGAUUAAAAGAAAAGUAAGUCCUGUGGAUUUCGAUUAGCAGAACAACACAUUGCCGAAUGGAUACUUCACAAUCUCUUUUAUGAGUGACGUCACAUCUACCUGGAUGUAGUACAAUGCCUUUGUCUCUAAUCCUUUCACAGAAGAUUUGAAGGAAACGAAUCAAGUUACAAGACACAAGAAAUUAUAGUGUUUCAUUUUUUUUUGUUGCAGAUAUAUUUAAAAAAUAUUCGCGAGUGCAGUGUAAUUUUUAAAAGUGUAAAUUAUUAUUAAUUGUAUAUUAUUUUAAUAGUUUUUGCAUAUUACGAAACUGCGAAAUGUAAUGUAAAUUAUGUUUAAAUUGUUAAAGCGUCAGUGGGCGUGGUCACACCAGCGACGUAAGUCCGCCUCAAAGAAGGGGACUUCUUAGAAAUGAAACAUAAGCGUCGGAGUGUCAGUAGUGGGGGCGAGAGAGAAGUUAUAGUCUUUCUCGCUCACACUCAUGCUCCCCACUCUGGCGCUUACGUUCCACUUCUCAGAAGCUACUCUUUCAGGCAUUCUUGCGUCGACAGUGUAACAGCGCGCACACUCAAGAAGUUCUUUGUCGUUCAUGAAGAGGAAUCAUCAUUCACCUUUAACCCCAUCGGAAUCUUCUUUCAAGGAACAAUUGUGAGUCAAAUUAAUAAUCACUAUUUCUAUUUUCUUUCUUACUUUUUUCCUACACUUGAAAAUAUUUUAUUCAAAUUAAAAAAUGUUUUUCAUUCAAAAUCUAGUUUCUUUUUAAUCUGGUGUUUAUCCAACAAAAUGCACACUUUUAAAAAAAGAAUUAUCAAUGGUAUUAAGCAAAAAUAUUAAUUUUUAAGAAAAAAAAUUAACAAUCAAAAAAUUUAUUUGUUUAUACAAUUUACUUAUAAUCUAAAGGUUUUGUCAUAUCGCCUUCCUAA